rnacentral:lncRNA from 1 species
AUUUUCGUGCAUCUUAUUUUAAAUGAAUGCCUUUAGAAGGGCCCCAUGUGCAACUAAUGGCUCUGAGCAGCCUCACCUGGGCCCCCAGUCACACCUGCCCUCUGAGUCCUAUUUAAGCAGAGCCUAGAGCCCUUGUUGCAUGCCUGCUAGUUGUAGUCUUGUUAUUGUUCUUCUGUAGUUUGUGGUCUCCUUGAAAUCAAACAGCAUCUCUUCUCUGUGAGCCAGAAGGUGAACUGCUGGAGUGAUUGAGGAGCUCCUCCAAAUGUCAUGCUGUGCUAGCUCUGCUGUUCCUGGAAGAGCAUCUCUUCUUCUGUGUAUGGGAGCUGAACUUGUCUCUCAAAUUCCCUGCUCCAAGGGAGGAUGUGGUUUUUUGAGUUCUCCACAAACCAAAGACAAGGGACUGACCUCAGUAUUACCUCUACUAUGCUGUGAGUGGUCCUCAGUGGAUGCGUAUGUUUGAUGAUGAUGAUUUAUUGGAGACUUUUCUACUGCUCUGCUCUAUCUGACUGCAGCCAGUCCAUAUACUUACCACCUGAAGGUAAGACUGAAGCGUACCUACUGAGCUUAUAGCUGUGAGAGGUGGGGAAACUAUAGGAAAAACUUGCAUGUUCCCUGCAAAAAUAAGCCUCCACCUGGGGAACAAAGCAACAAUGUCACACUCCAUAAAACAAAAACAAAUGUAGGUUAGGUCUUCUGCUGUGAGCCUUCUCCUGGGAAAUAAACUGUGAUAAUCCGGGAGCUUGCA